rnacentral:rRNA from 1 species
AUACGUAGGUGGCGAGCGUUAUCCGGAUUUACUGGGUGUAAAGGGCGUGUAGGCGGUUUUGUAAGUCGGAUGUGAAAUUCCCAGGCUUAACUUGGGAGCUGCAUCCGAAAUUACAGAACUUGAGUACUGGAGAGGAUAGUGGAAUUCCUAGUGUAGCGGUGAAAUGCGUAGAUAUUAGGAGGAACACCAGUAGCGAAGGCGGCUUUCUGGACUGUAACUGACACUGAGGCACGAAAGCGUGGGGAGC